GGCUCGAUGGCGGACGGUCCGCGCCUGCAAAUCGUGACGGAGAAUGUUAUAAUGUACCUAUUGCGGGAGGUGCCCGUUCGACUCGGGCUCGAGCCA